CCUCGGGUUGCCGCACCGCCGCCCAGGGUCAACGAGGCCGAGCUUGUGUGCCACCAUCAGGCCCAGGGUCGCGUGGGUGCCCGUCAUCGAUCCGCAGGUGGACCUGACCGCUGACAAGCUACGAGCUCAGCCACACCCGCUUGCCCCAUCCCGACGGUGACUUCAUGACCGCCCCAUCCAGCCACGCUGGGCAACACCCCCCAAAACUUGAUUCUCUUUGCUCCGCUUCCUGCCGUCCUUGCUUCCUUGACCUGACGUCCUCACCUCCGUGAUCUCUCGUCGCCAUGACCGAGUCCUGUGAAGGGAUGGCCCCCCGAGCUCUGUACCAGCAUGGCUCCGUUCCGUCGAGGCACACCAUGACCACGACAGUCUGCUUACCGUGGAGUACAUCACACUCCCAGAGGAGGUUUGUGCACUCCGCUGAUCUGAUUUUGGUUCUAAAAAAAUUUUGAUUCGUGAGUUGUAGAUCUCAUCGGCACUGUCGGAGUGUGGUUGUGGCCUUUGAGUGUGGUUGUCUAGGUAUGUAUAAAGUUCUGGAUUGUGUAGUGUAAUCAGCGAGAAAAUGUGUAUUGGCAUGUAUAAAGAAACAUAUGCGAAAUUCCGGAUCAUGUAGAUUAAUCAAUAAAAUUCUCAUCAGUUCUCUGGUAUUUGAAGGUA